rnacentral:rRNA from 1 species
UACGAAGGGUGCAAGCGUUAAUCGGAAUUACUGGGCGUAAAGGGUGCGUAGGCGGUUCGUUAAGUCUGUCGUGAAAUCCCCGGGCUCAACUCGAAGUCUGCACGAGAUACUGCCGGGCUUGAGUGUGGGAGAGGUGAGUGGAAUUUCCGGUGUAGCGGUGAAAUGCGUAGAUAUCGGAAGGAACACCUGUGGCGAAAGCGGCUCACUGGGCCAUAACUGACGCUGAGGCACGAAAGCUAGGGGAGCAAACAGG